GUACUUGGUGUUUGCCAACAUGCUGUAAUUUCCAGCCUGGUUGCUGUAGCCACAGAGGAAUUUUCAAGGACAAGAACCAGUGCUGGUAAAACUGUGGUCUCGUGUGGUUUUCCAUACCAGCUCUCGGCAAGGAUUUUCAAGAAAGGAAUACCAUCUCCAAAUCAUGAUGUGCCAAUAAGCUCCAGUUAGCUGCGGCCUUUUCCCCAG